GAUCCUGGCUUAGGAUGAACGCUAGCGACAGGCUAACACAUGCAAGUCGAGGGGCAGCACGGGAGUAGCAAUACAACUGGUGGCGACCGGCGCACGGGUGAGUAACGCGUAUGCAACCUACCUAUCAGAGGGGAAUAACCCGGCGAAAGUCGGACUAAUACCGCAUAAAACAGGGGCACCGCAUGGUGAUAUUUGUUAAAGAAAUUCGCUGAUAGAUGGGCAUGCGUUCCAUUAGGUAGUUGGUGAGGUAACGGCUCACCAAGCCGACGAUGGAUAGGGAACUGAGAGGUUGGUCCCCCACACUGGUACUGAGACACGGACCAGACUCCUACGGGAGGCAGCAGUGAGGAAUAUUGGUCAAUGGGCGAGAGCCUGAACCAGCCAAGUCGCCGUGAAGGAAGAAGGAUCUAUGGUUCGUAAACUUCUUUUGCAGGGGAAUAAAGUGCGGGACGUGUCCUGUUUUGUAUGUACCCUGAGAAUAAGGAUCGGCUAACUCCGUGCCAGCCGCAGC
rnacentral:rRNA from 1 species